ACAAUAUUAGACACAUUGGACAUAGGCGUUUCGGUUGAAAAGAUGGUCUCGGGUAUUUUGGUAGUUGGGGGCACUGGUUCCACCUGCGUAAACCUAGAACGGAUAUCUUCGAAGGGAGAAACAGAGAGGUCCAAGGGGCUUCCAGGCAUGAACACGGAGAUCACGCACAAGAUCAGACAGGAGAGCUGUGCCAGUCCUGAGAACAGACCGGUCCGAACAAGACCGCAUUUUCGGCGCAGCCAAGUGAAAGCCACAGUUCCCAUUAUUCCAGUUAUUGCUGACGCUCCCAUCAAAACACUGAGGAUGGAGCCACUCAGCCCCUGAGUGUAGGCGUACCCUGUGGUAAUGCAAUCAAAGCCCAGGACUGUCAUGUAGAGGAAAGCCAGGCCCAUGCCAGCCAGAAACACCGGCUGGUUAUAGUAGGACACCCAUCCAUCUCGAAAGGUGCGGAAGGGCUCAGCGAUCUGGGAAGCACACGUGGGCUCUUGCUCAUGUUCAAGUUCGCGGAUGUUGGAGUCUUUCUCGCCCAUUAGGGGUCCCUCCAGGGAACAAUGUGACUGCUGCCUUCUAGCAAAGUGCAAGGAGUGAAAUAUAAAAAACCAGCAGUGUGGGAAAGGUGGAAAAGUUCCUGCAGGAAGGAGGGUAAAGCCAGAAAGCAGAGAAGGAUUGAGCAUCUGUCAGCACGAGAAGAUCAGCUCCAUGCCCACAGGAACACUGAGCUAAGUCAUGUGUUUUCUCCAGUCUUGCUCUACUGUGAAAAGUUGGGUUUAUAGGGAGUUCCUGAGCUAGCCCAACAAAAGGAGGAGCCAAGUGAGCCAAGGCUAUUCCCUGGGAGAUGAUCAAGAACUUGGGGUUCACAGAGCUUUCAAGACUCCAGAUCUAUAUUUUAUACAAUACUUAUGAAGGCAAUAAUGCUUUAUGUCAAGAAAAAGGUCAUGUCAGAAAAUAGCUUUUAUCUUUCUGGAGCAGAAUGAAUUAAGCAGUAGUUUUGAAGACCUAACUGUUUUAUUGGUAAUCGCCUCGAAGAGAGUCAGUCUGCUGAAUGUUCAAACAUAUGCUCUUGGUGAAUUUAUAUUUAUUUCCAUAAGAACACUCAAAUGAGUGUUUACCUCAUUCUGGUUUGGUUGUUUGGGCUAUAACUAUGACGCAGAACGUGGUAUGAAAUAAUUUAUUUCACUGUAACAAGGACAUGAUACCACACAGAAGAAUAAUUUUUCAAAAGGCACCUGCCAAGCAAAUAACAGCCAGCAGCUCAUCCACCUAAAAUGUGAAACCAACUUUUAACCAAUAGAGUUCAGGCAUGAAAUUUAUGUGUCCUACUUUAUCAGAGCAAGCCAUAGACUUUCCUUCAGAAUAACAAGCAAGAAACCCCCGAGAAGCUGUUGCUCCAGCCUUCCCCACGAAGGGGGACAGAGAGAUAGAUGGAUUAGAAAGCCUGGGAAGGGGUAACACAGGCUACACGGACAAGUGAAUGUCAUAAUAAAAUAUUAAACCU